rnacentral:rRNA from 2 species
AACUCUGGUAUUGAUUGGUGCUUGCAUCAUGAUUUACAUUUGAGUGAGUGGCGAACUGGUGAGUAACACGUGGGAAACCUGCCCAGAAGCGGGGGAUAACACCUGGAAACAGAUGCUAAUACCGCAUAACAACUUGGACCGCAUGGUCCGAGUUUGAAAGAUGGCUUCGGCUAUCACUUUUGGAUGGUCCCGCGGCGUAUUAGCUAGAUGGUGAGGUAACGGCUCACCAUGGCAAUGAUACGUAGCCGACCUGAGAGGGUAAUCGGCCACAUUGGGACUGAGACACGGCCCAAACUCCUACGGGAGGCAGCAGUAGGGAAUCUUCCACAAUGGACGAAAGUCUGAUGGAGCAACGCCGCGUGAGUGAAGAAGGGUUUCGGCUCGUAAAACUCUGUUGUUAAAGAAGAACAUAUCUGAGAGUAACUGUUCAGGUAUUGACGGUAUUUAACCAGAAAGCCACGGCUAACUACGUGCCAGCAGCCGCGGUAAUACGUAGGUGGCAAGCGUUGUCCGGAUUUAUUGGGCGUAAAGCGAGCGCAGGCGGUUUUUUAAGUCUGAUGUGAAAGCCUUCGGCUCAACCGAAGAAGUGCAUCGGAAACUGGGAAACUUGAGUGCAGAAGAGGACAGUGGAACUCCAUGUGUAGCGGUGAAAUGCGUAGAUAUAUGGAAGAACACCAGUGGCGAAGGCGGCUGUCUGGUCUGUAACUGACGCUGAGGCUCGAAAGUAUGGGUAGCAAACAGGAUUAGAUACCCUGGUAGUCCAUACCGUAAACGAUGAAUGCUAAGUGUUGGAGGGUUUCCGCCCUUCAGUGCUGCAGCUAACGCAUUAAGCAUUCCGCCUGGGGAGUACGGCCGCAAGGCUGAAACUCAAAGGAAUUGACGGGGGGCCCGCACAAGCGGUGGAGCAUGUGGUUUAAUUCGAAGCUACGCGAAGAACCUUACCAGGUCUUGACAUACUAUGCAAAUCUAAGAGAUUAGACGUUCCCUUCGGGGACAUGGAUACAGGUGGUGCAUGGUUGUCGUCAGCUCGUGUCGUGAGAUGUUGGGUUAAGUCCCGCAACGAGCGCAACCCUUAUUAUCAGUUGCCAGCAUUAAGUUGGGCACUCUGGUGAGACUGCCGGUGACAAACCGGAGGAAGGUGGGGAUGACGUCAAAUCAUCAUGCCCCUUAUGACCUGGGCUACACACGUGCUACAAUGGAUGGUACAACGAGUUGCGAACUCGCGAGAGUAAGCUAAUCUCUUAAAGCCAUUCUCAGUUCGGAUUGUAGGCUGCAACUCGCCUACAUGAAGUCGGAAUCGCUAGUAAUCGCGGAUCAGCAUGCCGCGGUGAAUACGUUCCCGGGCCUUGUACACACCGCCCGUCACACCAUGAGAGUUUGUAACACCCAAAGUCGGUGG